AUUAGUUCAGUUGGUCAGCUUCCCAGGUGAGCUCCCUUCGACCCAGUUCUUUCAGACUUUCAGUGUCAAUUUCAGAGUUGAAAGAAAAUCAUCCUGAGUUUGCACUUGUUCUUGACACCAGUGAUGAUAAGCUUCCUAAUACAUUCAACUUGGUGUACAAGAGUGUUCCUAUGCAUGAUGUAAUUGUAGGAUCAUAUAUCCUUGUUGGUGCUGGUGAGGAUGGGUGUAUAGUUUCUGUGAUGAUGAUAUUGAUGCUUUGAUAAGCAUGUGCUUAUGCCUUUGGUUGGUAAUGCAAUAGGGUUUUGAAUUUCAGCAGAUUGUUGAUAUUGGCAAAAUUCUGACAUUGUUCAUGGAGUUUCAAACCUUAGGUGACAGGACGUGAAGAACCAUGCUCUGCAAAGUGUCUUGUUUUUAAUGUUGCAGGUGUGUGGCACUUAUUAGAAGCUUCUCCAUGAGAAAGAAGAUGUAUGAAUAUGAUGGAGUUUGUAAUUUGUAGUUUAUAUUUUGGAGAUUUAUAAUUCCUUAUUUUUCUUGUCCUAUGUAUCUUUCUAGUUCAUUAGGGUUCUUCAAUGUGUCUUGUUAUUUUGUACUUUAAUGUUUAUAUGUUGAAGAUUUAUAAAAUAAUCUUAGUUAAAUGAAAGAUAUUU